rnacentral:rRNA from 1 species
GAGUUUGAUCAUGGCUCAGGACGAACGCUGGCGGCGUGCUUAACACAUGCAAGUCGAGCGGAAAGGCCUCUUCGGGGGUACUCGAGCGGCGAACGGGUGAGUAACACGUGAGUAACCUGCCCCAGUCUUUGGGAUAACCCUCGGAAACGGGGGCUAAUACCGGAUAUGACCUUGGCCCGCAUGGGUUGUGGUGGAAAGUUUUUCGGUCUGGGAUGGGCUCGCGGCCUAUCAGCUUGUUGGUGGGGUGAUGGCCUACCAAGGCGACGACGGGUAGCCGGCCUGAGAGGGCGACCGGCCACACUGGGACUGAGACACGGCCCAGACUCCUACGGGAGGCAGCAGUGGGGAAUAUUGCACAAUGGGCGGAAGCCUGAUGCAGCGACGCCGCGUGAGGGAUGACGGCC